CACUUUAUUUAGUUAAUUGGUUCUUCCGUAGUGUGUGUGACAUUUCCAGAGACAGGAAGAAGAGUCAAAUAUCUUCAGAAACAAGGAAACUUUUACAAUCGAAAACUGCAACAAACUUGCAUCCACAAUGCCUUUGUUCUUAAAGUUUACGUUUUCAGGUUAGUGAUCAUUUUAUUUGGCGAUUAUGUGGGAAGAUGACGAUCAUUUAUGCCGACUAUUGGCGGAUAGUUUGAUUGAUGCUAUUGGUUUUCUGCCUGUCCAAAUGUUAAACAGAUGAGUUGACGAUAUUUUGUUAAACAUACUUUACUAUGGACGAUUUAUAGAAGUAAUUAAGGUUUUAGAAUGAAUGGCACAGACGUUGAUAGAAUGUAUGUAGAUAAAACUGCAAUGGUUUCGGAGACACCGGAAAUGAUUCCUAACCGAUUUUGUUCUAUCAAAAUGGAAACAUCAGGCAACAUACCUAAAGGAUACGUAAAGCUAAUCUUAUUGACUCCAAAGAAAGCAGAGCAACACAUACAACUUGCCAUGAUAUCUGAAGGAAGAAACGCGUGUAUUUCAAGUAAAAUUUACGUAGAAUCUCAUGUACAAAGAAAUUAAGAAAUACAUAGACCUUGUGUAAGAAGGGUGGCACAGCAUGGAUCAGAACAAGAUGAAGCACAUUGCCUGAGGUAUGCAUACUGGCCGUUCGAUGCCAUGGAAUAGCGUGCCAGAGGAAGAUCGCAUAUAUGGCCGGAUAACUACAUGAUCAAAGAAAUAUGCAAAAUGGGAUGUUAUGUUGUUCCAAUAGGUCCUAAAUGUAUUGACGGUAGUGGAUGUUGGUUAUUUAACUCGAUGUUGUGGAGAUUGUCCUUUUCAGUUGCAGAAAAACGAUUAGUAUAUACAUUUAAUGAUACGCAGUUCCUAGUUUACGGAAUUUUCAAACUGAUGACCAAAGAGGCAUUUAGAGAGAUCCGGGGUGUUUUGUGUUCAUAUUUCAUGAAAACGCUUUCGUUUUGGAGUAUCGAAGAAACACCAAGAGAACUGUGGAAGCAAGAGAGAUUAAUUUUUCCUACUGAUCCACCGUUCAGCGUGAAUUAUGAGAAACGAGAUGCAUGGCAAGCUGAAAAGACUCUUUUAAAUCAGUAACUAAAAUGCCAGUAGAUUAAAAGGUGCAAACUUCAAGAUAUUUUAAGAAAACUUUUUAAACUUGCUGAUGAAUUACAGAGGCAUUAUUCUUCGUUGUAAUUCAGGAAAAUCUAUUGGUUGAAACGGUACCACAUAAUUAAUUAUCAAGUAAUAUAUAAGGACUUCAUACAGACCAUGAAAAAUACUUACAUUCGCAUUCUAAGUGCUUGAAUUCUUUUCAUGGUGCUUGAGAAAUGACUUUAGAAAUGCAGGAAAAGUAAUUGAUGAAAUAUGAUACUGGAUUGUAAGAAUCCCGAUAUACUUUAAAAAAUACGACUGAAGAACACCAACCAACGCUACAAUAUUGUCCAUGGUGUUAGUACACCAAACAAUGCUACAAUAUUGUCCAUGGUGUUAGUACACCAACCAAUGCUACAAUAUUGUCCAUGGUGUUAGUACACCAACCAAUGCUACAAUAUUGUCCAUGGUGUUAGUACACCAACCAAUGCUACAAUAUUGUCCAUGGUGUUAGUACACCAACCAAUACUGCAAUAGUGUUCAUGGUUGAUAUUGUACUCUUGGUGUGUGUGAUAAAACCAUAGACUGAUGUCAACAAAAAUGCUCUAAUGGUAUUGAUACAUAUUGUUUGAAAUACAUAUUUCACAUAAUAGAAAUGUUGAUACAGUAUAUUAACCUUAGAAAAUGUUCAAUGAGAAAAAUCUAUUGAUAUAUACAUGGAUAUAGUUUAAAUAAGAUGCACUUAUUUGUUGUUAAGACAAAUUGUUUAAGUGUGUGUGUAUGGUGAAUAUGAUGUACAAUGAGGUAUAUUGAGAUGUAUGAUGUUGAGAAUGUGAUACAAAUGAUAAUGAACGCAGAUGAUAAUAGUGUCUGUUGUUUUGGAUACUAAUGGAUUGAUGGAAGACUUUAGUCAAUCAUAAGCAUUCUGUCUACAUUAUAGGAAUUUAUAGGUCCACUUUGGGUGAGUUUCAUGCUAUUUGGAAUGUGUCCAUAGGCUAUAUUGAAUCUAUCCUGUAAGAACGAUGGUCAAUAACAUUAAAUACAACGGACAGAUCCAGAAGGAUGAGAAGAACAUAUAACCCGUUAUAAAAUGAUGCUGUUUGAAGAAGAUAGUCUAAGCAUCGUUUCAUCAGAUAGUUGGGGAGCGGAUCCAGCUCAUUUGAUUUGUCUGCCGACUCUGGUAGAUUAACUGAACUUCUACUACAGUCGUAAAAUAAACAGAAAAUAAGUAUUCUCCAGUGAAUUUCCCACCAUUCUAAGAGGGUCGGACUGAUCUGUUUGGCUUUGUUGAAAAUGAACUCGGAUCUUAGCCACCUUGAUUAUGAAGAAGUCUGAAAAGGCCUCUACAAGAUCAACAUUCUGAAGUACUUGGUAGCAGAAAUUGCUGUUGUUUUCCCAUUAGGUUCUUGGUAAUCUUGAAAAUCUGCUUAAGAUUUCUGCCACUUUCUUCAACUUGCAUGAAUAUCAACCUCUCUUAGCUUUGUAAAGAAUAGCCUCUGUCCGUGAAUACUGUUCCUUGAACAAUUGACAAUGGAUUUCCAUGUUGUAUGAGUGAUAUAUUCAGUUCGUUGAUCUUGGUACAAAAUGACCAAAAACGUUAUAUGAUAUAGAUGUAUAUCGUUUCAAAGUUUUGAUAUUAGGAACAUUUAUAUGAGAAUUGUCCUACUUGUUGCGGUCUUGUUUCUGUUGUUACAAAGAUGUCCCUCCUGUUACAUGUCAAUUAUAACAAUUUUCUUAUAAUUAUUCGUCACUACUGACCUCGAUAUUUUGAUAAAAUGUAUUACAAAUUUUAUAAUUCUUUAACAUAAUUAUGAAAUGUAUCUGUGUAAUAUCCUUGUAUGUUCAAAAUAUAGAACAAUAUGAAGUUUAAUUUUCCAAAUUCUAAGGCUGCGUUAACAAUAGAACGGAAAAGUCAUAUAGCUGUUAAUUUGUCCGCAUAAACCUUCAUAUAGAUGUUAAUCUGUCGCAUAAACCUUUCGUAUGCUGCAUGAUUUCCAUAUUUUAGCCUAAUGAUGCUACAAGAUGAAUGAAUAUUUUGUUUGAUAAAAGAAUAAUAUUAAUUUUAUUGUGGUAACACCAGUGACCCACUUUUCAGCUGUAGUGUGUAAAAUCUUUUAUUUCUACUAAAUGGACUGAUUUAUUUGUUGCAUUUGUGUUGUUCAUUCAAGGUUUUAAAUAGUUUGUCAAAAUAAACAUGCUAAAAUUA